rnacentral:rRNA from 1 species
CCUAGGGCCAUUACUACCCUGAAUGCACCGUCUUGCCUCAUGUCAGAAGCUAAGCAGUGCCAGGCCUGGUUAGUACUUGGA